rnacentral:lncRNA from 1 species
CCGAGUGCUUCAACCUCCACCACAGCCCACAUGACCCUGCUGGGCAACACCCUGUUCCAGACGCCUGCUGGCCUGGGCCUUGGUUCCCAGCACAGAAUCUGGUUGCUGUAAGGAUGAAUUCCUCUGAAGGGAAGGAAGAAACGUGAGGAAGAGCCCCAGUCCACACAGGAUGCUGAGGAUGGUCCCAAUCACCCAGGAAGUGGAACUGGAGCUCAACCAGGGAGAAGGGCUGAAAAUGGAGUUAACAUUGACCAUGGCUGCAUAAGGAAGCUUGCACAAAAUCUCAAACGUACGGUGUUCAGGGCACUUACAGCUAAUCCUCAGAGUGUCAUGAAGACCCUUCAUCCUGCAUUGAACAAGCCCCUGGUCCUUGGGCAUCUCUAGGGUCUUGGAAAUUUUCCUGGGAUCUGGUGUGGGCUUGAGUCACAGCUUUGCUCUCCCAGAUGUUGUCAUUGUUAGGAAGGAGACGAGAGAAAAACAGCCUCAGAAAGGGGAGGGAGACUUGAUCUCAUCAAGAUGGUGGUGUUGGCAGACUCUGAUCUCAUCUCCUCCCACGAACACAACCAGGUUAUAACAAUUUUUGGAAAAAUUAUCCUGGAUGGAAAACUGAAAACUGGAUAAAAAG